GAUGAACGCUGGCGGCGUGCCUAAUACAUGCAAGUCGAGCGAACAGACGAGGAUCUUGCUCCUCUGACGUUAGCGGCGGACGGGUGAGUAACACGUGGAUCACCUACCUAUAAGACUGGGAUAACUUCGGGAAACCGGAGCUAAUACCGGAUAAUAUAUUGAACCGCAUGGUUCAAUAGUGAAAGACGGUUUUGCUGUCACUUAUAGAUGGAUCCGCGCCGCAUUAGCUAGUUGGUAAGGUAACGGCUUACCAAGGCAACGAUGCGUAGCCGACCUGAGAGGGUGAUCGGCCACACUGGAACUGAGACACGGUCCAGACUCCUACGGGAGGCAGCAGUAGGGAAUCUUCCGCAAUGGGCGAAAGCCUGACGGAGCAACGCCGCGUGAAUGAUGAAGGUCUUCGGAUCGUAAAACUCUGUUAUUAGGGAAGAACAAAUGUGUAAGUAACUAUGCACGUCUUGACGGUACCUAAACAGAAAGCCACGGCUAACUACGUG
rnacentral:rRNA from 1 species